GAUGAACGCUGGCGGCGUGCUUAACACAUGCAAGUCGAACGAUGAAGCCCUGCUUGCAGGGUGGAUUAGUGGCGAACGGGUGAGUAACACGUGAGUAACCUGCCCCUGACUCUGGGAUAAGCCCGGGAAACUGGGUCUAAUACCGGAUAUGACUUCCUACUGCAUGGUGGGUUGUUGAAAGAUUUAUCGGUGGGGGAUGGACUCGCGGCCUAUCAGCUUGUUGGUGAGGUAAUGGCUCACCAAGGCGACGACGGGUAGCCGGCCUGAGAGGGUGACCGGCCACACUGGGACUGAGACACGGCCCAGACUCCUACGGGAGGCAGCAGUGGGGAAUAUUGCACAAUGGGCGGAAGCCUGAUGCAGCGACGCCGCGAGAGGGAUGACGGCCUUCGGGUUGUAAACCUCUUUCAGUAGGGAAGAAGCGAAAGUGACGGUACCUGCAGAAGAAGCGCCGGCUAACUACGUGCCAGCAGCCGCCGUAA
rnacentral:rRNA from 1 species